GUUCAGAGGUGUGCUCUCCCGAUCUCCUCGCCGAGCUCCAGCCGAAGGAGAAGGGGGCUAAGUGAGGAGGUCUCAGCGCCACGGCUCGUGCAAAGCAGACUGCCCGCAAAUCUCCCAGAUCGCAAGAGCGUCG